rnacentral:rRNA from 1 species
AUUGAACGCUGGCGGCAUGCCUUACACAUGCAAGUCGAACGGUAACAGGUCUUCGGAUGCUGACGAGUGGCGAACGGGUGAGUAAUACAUCGGAACGUGCCUAGUAGUGGGGGAUAACUACUCGAAAGAGUGGCUAAUACCGCAUGAGAUCUACGGAUGAAAGCAGGGGAUCGUAAGACCUUGUGCUACUCGAGCGGCCGAUGGCAGAUUAGGUCGUUGGUGGGAUAAAAGCUUACCAAGCCGACGAUCUGUAGCUGGUCUGAGAGGACGAUCAGCCACACUGGGACUGAGACACGGCCCAGACUCCUACGGGAGGCAGCAGUGGGGAAUUUUGGACAAUGGGCGAAAGCCUGAUCCGGCAAUGCCGCGUGCAGGAUGAAGGCCUUCGGGUUGUAAACUGCUUUUGUACGGAACGAAAAGCCCUGGGUUAAUACCCUGGGGUCAUGACGGUACCGUAAGAAUAAGCACCGGCUAACUACGUGCCAGCAGCCGCAGUAA